rnacentral:rRNA from 1 species
UACGAAGGGAGCUAGCGUUGUUCGGAACCACUGGGCGUAAAGCGCACGUAGGCGGAUGUGUCAGUCAGGGGUGAAAUCCCGGAGCUCAACUUCGGAACUGCCUUUGAUACAGCACAUCUGGAGUCCGGAAGAGGUGGGUGGAAUUCCUAGUGUAGAGGUGAAAUUCGUAGAUAUUAGGAAGAACACCGGUGGCGAAGGCGGCCCACUGGUCCGGUACUGACGCUGAGGUGCGAAAGCGUGGGGAGCAAACAGG